GUCCAGAAGGAGCGCGAAGGGCACUCCGGGCCGGCGCCACGCUCCGCCCGCCCCCACCUGCUUAUCUGAGGUCCCCGGGUGUCCCCGUCCCAUCCCCGAAGGAGCCUGUGCGGCGCUUACCCGAGAGGGGCGGCUCCCGGGGCUGGCGGUCCAGCCGGCUGGGGAGGCAUCAGUACUCUAAUCGCUUCGGUUAAAGUACCAAACGACCUUUGCCUGGAGAAAGGAAAAGUGAAAAAGGAAGAAGGCAAAGAACAACCUUUGUGAAAGCCAGGGAGGUGUUUAAAGGCACCAGCCCUGCAGUAAAAGGAUGACUUCAAUUGAAAAGGUGCCUACAGGGUGAAAUCAUUUCUUGACACCGCCAAGCUGACAUAUCAGGUAUGUUGAAGAAAGGAACUAAUUCCAACUUUAUUUCUCAAAAAUAAUUGCAUUCAGAAAUUCUCAACAGGGACAGUACUCCAUCCUUGAGAGUCACUUGGAAACGCAAAUCAACCAUCUUCAUCUCUCCAUCUUGGUCACCAUCUUUUAUGGCUGCAGGACCAUAGCUUAUGGAAAAAUGCACACACAUGCUCUGCGAAGAAAAGAAGGUACUCUACAGAGUCCACCAUUUCUCACCCUCAAUCCUAAAAUCCAAUGAUCCUGCAAAUGGGAAGUUUUUUAAAAAAAUAGCUGUGGCAAAGCCUUCCCUGACCUCAGCUCAUUUGGCAAUAAACCUUCACCUACAGUGGUUGGAGACUUCUAUGGUUUGGAUAAAUGCACCUAAAGGUCCUGGUCCUCAGGCCCUGGUGCAACUGAGAGGAGGUGGAACCUUUAAUGGUGGGAGCCAGUGGGAGAUCUUUAUGUCAUUGGGGGCAUUCCCUUAAAAAGGGGUUGGGGGUAUCCUCAUCUAUUCCUCUUCCUCUCUCUUUUGCUUCCGGGUCAUGAGUUGAGCAGUAUUGUUCCACCAAAUACUCCCACCGUAAUGCACUGCCACAGGCCUAAAGCACCAGGGUCAACCUAUCGUGGAUUGAAAACUCUAGAACUAUGAAACAAAAUAAACUUCUCUUUAUAUGGUUA